UCAUAAUUUUUAUAUUAUUAUUAAUUAUUGUUAAUUUAAUUUAUUAAUUUUUAGUAUAAUUUAGAAAAAAUUAUUUAAUAUUACUGUUAAGGGUAAAUUUUAUUGUUUUAGAAUAUUUAUAUAGUACCUUUUGUAUCAGGGUUAAUUUAUUAAUUAAUUUAUAUUUAUUUUCCCGAAUUAAGGAUAUUUAAAAUUAUGUUUUUUUUGUAUGUGUUAUAUUACUUAUUAAUUUGAUUUUAGUAGUUAAAAGUUAAUCGUUCCUUAAAUAUAUCUGGUUUUAUGGUAUUUAAAUUAAAUUUAGGUUUUUUUUUAAAACUUAUAUAAUUGGGGAUAAUCUCAAUUUUUUGUUAAAAUUAAUAUUUAAAUAUUUUUUAUAUCAUUAAUAUCUUUGAAUUAAGUUCGUAAUAGAUUUAAAUUAAUUAUUAUUAUUUUUUAAUAAUUUAUCUUUAUACUGUAAUUAUUUAAUUAAUUUUUGUUUAUUUUUAUUAAUGAUUGAAUUAGUAUAAUUUAUAUAUAUUUAUUUAUGAAUUCGACAAAUUUAAUUUUCAACUGUUUAUCAAAAACAUUUCUUUAAGAUAUUAUUUAAGGUAGGUUCUGCCCUAUGAUUAUUUAAUUAAAUGGCUGCAGUAUCUUGACUGUGCAAAGGUAGCAUAAUAAUUAGUUUCUUAAUUAGGGACUUGUAUGAAUGAAUUAAUGAGAAAUUUAUUUUAUUAUUAUUAUUAUUAUAAUUUAACUUUUGAGUUAAAAUGCUCAAUUAUAUUAUUGGGACGAUAAGACCCUGUAGAACUUAUAGUUAAUAAAUAUUUAUAAAUAAUUUAGUUUUUAUUAUUAAAAUAUUUAUUUAUUUUUUACUGGGGUGGUAAAUAAAUUUAAACUUUAUUUUUUAUAUUCAUUAAUUUAUGUAUAUUUGAUCCAUAUUGAUAAUAAGAUGAAGUUACCUCAGGGAUAACAGCGUAAUUUUGAUGGAAAGUUCAUAUUUAUAUUAAAGUUUGCGACCUCGAUGUUGAAUUAAGAUAAAAUUAAGGGGUAGGUUCUUUAAUAUUAGGUCUGUUCGACCUUUAAAUUCUUACAUGAUUUGAGUUCAAACCGGUGUAAGCCAGGUUGGUUUCUAUCUGAUUAUUAAUUAAUCUUUUUAGUACGAAAGGACCAAAAGAUUCUAUUUUAUAGUUUUAUGUGAAUAUUAUU
rnacentral:rRNA from 1 species